AGGUCAAUAUUCCUGUACCUCUUUGUAAUGCGAUGGGGGGACGGAGAAGGUUAGGUCAGCCGGGUGUUGGACGUCCCGGUUCAAGCGUGUAGGCAGACCUCUUAGGCAAAUCCGGGGGGUCAAUGCUGAGGCGUGAUAACGAGUGGUCUUGUACCGCGAAGUGAUUGAUACCAUGCUUCCAAGAAAAGCCUCUAAGCUUCAGUUACAAGGAGACCGUACCGCAAACCGACACAGGUGGGCAGGAUGAAAAUUCUAAGGCGCUUGAGAGAACUCAGGAGAAGGAACUCGGCAAAUUUGCACCGUAACUUCGGGAAAAGGUGCGCCCUGAUAGGUUGUAGCCCCUCGCGGGUGAAGGCCGAAAGGGUUGCAGUGAAAUGGUGGCUGCGACUGUUUAAUAAAAACACAGCACUCUGCAAACACGAAAGUGGACGUAUAGGGUGUGACGCCUGCCCGGUGCCGGAAGGUUAAGUGAUGGGGUGCAAGCUCUUGAUCGAAGCCCCGGUAAACGGCGGCCGUAACUAUAACGGUCCUAAGGUAGCGAAAUUCCUUGUCGGGUAAGUUCCGACCUGCACGAAUGGCGUAACGAUGGCCACACUGUCUCCUCCUGAGACUCAGCGAAGUUGAAGUGGUUGUGAAGAUGCAAUCUCCCCGCGGUUAGACGGAAAGACCCCAUGAACCUUUACUGUAGCUUUGCAUUGGACUUUGAACCGACUUGUGUAGGAUAGGUGGGAGGCUGUGAAGCCGGGACGCUAGUUCUGGUGGAGCCAACCUUGAAAUACCACCCUGGUUUGUUUGAGGUUCUAACCACGGCCCGUGAAUCCGGGUCUGGGACCGUGCAUGGUAGGCAGUUUGACUGGGGCGGUCUCCUCCUAAAGUGUAACGGAGGAGUACGAAGGUACGCUAGGUACGGUCGGACAUCGUGCUAAUAGUGCAAUGGCAAAAGCGUGCUUGACUGCGAGACCCACACGUCGAGCAGGUACGAAAGUAGGUCAUAGUGAUCCGGUGGUUCUGUAUGGAAGGGCCAUCGCUCAACGGAUAAAAGGUACUCUGGGGAUAACAGGCUAAUACCGCCCAAGAGUUCAUAUCGACGACGGUGUUUGGCACCUCGAUGUCGGCUCAUCACAUCCUGGGGCUGUAGUCGGUCCCAAGGGUAUGGCUGUUCGCCAUUUAAAGUGGUACGUGAGCUGGGUUUAAAACGUCGUGAGACAGUUUGGUCCCUAUCUGCCGUGGGCGCUGGAAAUUUGAAGGGGGCUGCUCCUAGUACGAGAGGACCGGAGUGGACGAACCUCUGGUGUACCGGUUAUGACGCCAGUCGUAUUGCCGGGUAGCUAAGUUCGGAAGAGAUAAACGCUGAAAGCAUCUAAGCGUGAAACUCGCCUUAAGAUGAGAUCUCCCUGGGGACUUGAUCCCCCUGAAGGGUCGUGGUAGACCACCACGUUGAUAGGCUGGGUGUGGAAGCGCAGCAAUGCGUUAAGCUAACCAGUACUAAUUGCCCGUGAGGCUUGAUCC
rnacentral:rRNA from 1 species